CAGACGGGGUCUGAACACUUUUGUAAGUGUGGACUUUUCUUUUCUUGUGCAUGUGUGCGGGAGAAGGCGAAUUGAGAACAGGAGGGCAAGUCUGGUGCCAGCAGCCGCGGUAAAUCCAGCCCCAAUGGCGUAUAUUUGAGUUGUUGCAGUUAAAUAAGCUCGUAGUUGGAUUUCUGUUUUGGAUGUCCGGUUCGUUUCCUUUAAAAAAUGUCCUUAUAGAUGUUUGACGCACUUUUUUGAGGCUGCCUUUCUGCCAUUAAGUUGGUGGGUUGGUGGGCUUGCAUCGUUUACUGUGAAAAAAUCGAGUGUUUAAAGCAGGCGUUAGCUCGCNNNNNNNNNNGCAAUAAUUACUUUUGGAGUAAGCGGAUUGCGAUCCGCUAACUCGUACUUGUUCUAAGAACAGAACAAAAGGUCUG
rnacentral:ncRNA from 1 species